UACGUAGGCAGCAAGCGUUGUUCGGAGUUACUGGGCGUAAAGGGUGCGUAGGCGGCUCUGUAAGUAUGGUGUGAAAUCUCCCGGCUUAACUGGGAGGGUGCGCUAUAGACUGCGGGGCUCGAGUGUGGGAGAGGAAAGUGGAAUUCCUGGUGUAGCGGUGAAAUGCGUAGAUAUCAGGAGGAACACCGGUGGUGUAAACGGCUUUCUGGACCAUUUCUGACGCUGAGACACGAAAGCGUGGGUAGCAAACAGG
rnacentral:rRNA from 1 species